rnacentral:rRNA from 1 species
AAGCCUGAUCCAGCCAUGCCGCGUGUGUGAAGAAGGUCUUCGGAUUGUAAAGCACUUUAAGUCGGGAGGAAGGGCUGUAGGCGAAUACCCUGCAGCCUUGACGUUACCGACAGAAUAAGCACCGGCUAACUUCGUGCCAGCAGCCGCGGUAAUACGAAGGGUGCAAGCGUUAAUCGGAAUUACUGGGCGUAAAGCGCGCGUAGGUGGUUUGGUAAGUUGGAUGUGAAAGCCCUGGGCUCAACCUGGGAACUUCAUCCAAAACUGCCUGGCUAGAGUACGGUAGAGGGUGGUGGAAUUUCCUGUGUAGCGGUGAAAUGCGUAGAUAUAGGAAGGAACACCAGUGGCGAAGGCGACCACCUGGACUGAUACUGACACUGAGGUGCGAAAGCGUGGGGAGGAAACAGGAUUAGAUACCCUGGUAGUCCACGCC